GCACUGCGCACCACCGACCUGGACGCAAACAAAACACUACUGAAUUGAAAUCUCGGUGGAAUCGGAAUGAAGUCCAAAGGACCAUCCGAUUUUGAUACUCGAAAUAUUAUUCAAGUUCUUUCGACAGAGGUCAGAGUUGCGACCGGACCCGAGAUCUUGCGAAAAUGAUUAUUACUAGUUUUGUGUUAUCUAUUCUAAUAUUGUAAUAAAUAACAUAAAUUAAUCAGUAACAAGUGUUUUUCAAAUACUUUAGGUAGGGGAGAGUGGGGUUAUUAUGUACAGUGAAUAAUUAUGCCCAAAUUUCUGUAGGUUAACCCUCUUAUCCUAUAAUCUAAUUUUGCCCAUUAUAAUCGUGUCCACAUAAUUUCAGCAAUUUUGAAGCCUCACUCAAAAACUGUCAAACUAAAAACGUAUCUUUCUCAUGUUAUAGUUAUAAUUUAGGCGAAAACAAGUCAAAAAUUACUUUUUUUAACUUUUCAGAUAAGUAUUUUCUAACUUCUUAUUAACAUAUAAUUUAUAUAAUCGACCUAAUCUUAAAUUUUUCUCCGCAAAAUGUAUUCAUACAGUGGAACCCCUGUCACCCGAACGGGGAUAAACCGACUCCACCAAUUAUUUUGUUCAAUUUCAAAUUUUGAAUUCGAAAAAUUUUUAUAACACGAAUUUUUGUUUAAUUAAUUAAUUAACUAAAAACACGCAACUAAUAAAAAUUAAGAACAAGAACACUAGAUGCACUAGAGAGAGUUGAGAUUUUUAAGGUAAACACUUUGUUGGAUUAGUUAAAAAAAUUGCUCAUAUUAUAAUAACAGGAAUCACUUGAACUCAACAAAAGUAUUAUUCCACUGUAUUCUACAAAGAUGAUUUGAAGUGGCAACGGCCUAUUCGGGUGAUCGAAGUUCGACUGUAUAAAGCAAAAUAUUUCAUUGUUACUACGUGCCAAUAGCAAGGUUAUUUUGAUAAUAGCUGUGAUAAUAGUAAAUAAUAAAGAAUUGUUUUUAUUUUCA